UCCAGGGUAGCCUAGUGGACAUGUCAGCUGCCCGGUAAGCGGAACACUGUGGGUUCGAUUCCCAUCCCUGGAC
rnacentral:tRNA from 1 species